ACUACGGUGUUGGAGAAACAAAAGUUGCAAGUUAUGAAAAUGAUGAAGAUUUUCAUGAAGUCAAUGGAAGUGAUAUUGGGAUCUGAUUAACAAGUGAAAAGUUGACAGAGUCAGAAAGUUAACAAGGAACAGAAAGUCAACAAGCAUGAUGUUCAGUCUGUGAUCCAGCUGGAGUUCAUUUUUGUGUCUGGUGUGAGAUGUAUCUCUCCGAAGUUAUAAAGUCAAUUUGAUUUUUCCUGAAUAAUCACGUCACACCCUGAGGUGAUGAAAGAAGAUUCGAGGCCCCAGCUGCUUUCCUGUAUUCAAAACUGGUUGAAAGCGUGAAGUUUUAUUCCUCUUGUUGUUGAUAUAAAAGGCAUGGAGUUCAGAGAAUCCACGAUGAUAACUAUGGAGAUGAAAAGAUUGACGGUGAGGAGUCAUUAUGGAGUUAGCUUGACAACUGAAAUUGACCUCACAGCUCUGCCCCCCAAGAAAACCCUUGACUGCAAUCUCUGACAUUAUAACUCUCUGCAGUCUUUAUCUUGGACCUUUGAGAUUUGAAGCUGCCACAUAUGUGAACUAUGGUCAGUUAUAUACCAACCAGUUUUAUUCACCAGGGAUCAAGCUGAGACCAAGUAAGCAGCUUGCCAUACUUCUGAAAUUAAUAGCUAUCUUGACAAGGGUUGUUUGUCUUUUUCUCUUAUUUUAAUUGAUGAACACUUACUGGAUCUCUAGAGAAUAAGUGACUUAGGCUACGUGGUCCAGAAUAGUAGAUUGAGCCGCUAAAUUUUAACCCUUUAGUUAGGUUUUUUUCUCCCUCCCUGGCUCCUAAAAUAAGAGUUGAACAGUUAAAAAUGUCUAGUUGUUUUUCUCAUUAUGUAGUUUUUCACAUGUAGCGCCAUGUUGAUUUUGUUCCUGU